GAGGGUAUAGCUUAGUGGUAAAGUGCAUGACUAGCAUACACAAGGUCUUGGUUUCAAUUCCCAGUACCUCUG
rfam:Camelus ferus unplaced genomic scaffold scaffold164, whole genome shotgun sequence.